rnacentral:rRNA from 1 species
AUUGAACGUUGGCGGCAUGCCUUACACAUGCAAGUCGAACGGUAACGCGGGGCAACCUGGCGACGAGUGGCGAACGGGUGAGUAAUGCAUCGGAACGUGCCUGGUAGUGGGGGAUAACUGCUCGAAAGAGCAGCUAAUACCGCAUACGACCUGAGGGUGAAAGGGGGGGAUCGCAAGACCUCUCGCUAUCAGAGCGGCCGAUGUCGGAUUAGCUAGUUGGUGGGGUAAAGGCCCACCAAGGCAACGAUCCGUAGCUGGUCUGAGAGGACGACCAGCCGCACGGGGACUGAGACACGGCCCAGACUCCUACGGGAGGCAGCAGUGGGGAAUUUUGGACAAUGGACGCAAGUCUGAUCCAGCAAUGCCGCGUGCGGGAAGAAGGCCUUCGGGUUGUAAACCGCUUUUGUUAGGGAAGAAAUUCUCCGGGCUAAUACCCAGGGGGGAUGACGGUACCUAAAGAAUAAGCACCGGCUAACUACGUGCCAGCCGCCGCCGUAA